UCGAACUUGCAACAAUCCUCCUGCCUCAGCCUCCCAAGUGCUGAUUGGUAACUAUUUAAAUAGCAAACAAAUGCGCAAUUACAACUAUGACAGUCUGGAUUAGCAAAAAAGUAUGUGAUGUUAGGAAAGGAAAUAGUAAGGCACCUGAACUUGUCAGGGAAAUCAACCAGGAUGUCUUGGAGAAAGCAGUGCUAGAGCAGAGUGGGCUCUUAGGUAGAGGAAACAUAUGCAAAGGUCCUAUGGUCAGCAUGGCCAGUGUAGCUGGAGCUCAGAGAGUGAGUGGGUGCAGGAUGCCAGAGAGGUAGGAAGGACCAGACCUUGCAGGGCCCAUGGGCCAGCUCAGCGUCUGAUCUUUUUUUGUGUGGGGGUGUUACUUGGUAUUGAAGGUACAGCUUCACACUAAGAUACAUCCCCAGCCCUUUUUUUUUUUUUUCCCCAGGCUGACCUCGAACUUGCAAACCUCCUCCUCAGCCUCCUAGAGUGUUGGGAAGUCCUUUGGUCUUUCUUGCAAGAGGAAUGAGAAGCUGCUGAAAAGCUUCAGCUGGUGGAGGACAUGGUCAGAUUAACGACUGGAAAAGACGGUCGUGCUGUUGCCGUUCCCCCGACAGGACUGCCCAGCCGAGCUGCUUUGUGCCCUCGCAGCCUCUCUGAAUAUUCAAAGAACGUCCUCUCCACUCAAGCCUUGCCCAGCCUCGUGAACGUGCGUCUGGCUCCCCCUGGUGGUCGAUGAGCGUAUUGCCAGGAUAAGAAGUGGGACCUGUAGAGACCUCUGAACCAGACACGGGGCGGCGGCUCAGGUCCCAGCCGAGCGGUCAGGACAUGUGUGCAGUGCUGUCCUGUGGGAUUGGCCGGUGACUCAGUCUAUAACCGUGGACGAUUCCCCAGACCUCUGUGAACUUCCAUUUCCGCACCUGCAAAUUCGGGCGCGUGAUAGGGGUGAGGCUUUUCUUGAACUAACAAUUAAAAUCUUGUUGGUUGCAA